CAGCAGCCACGGUAAGACAGAGGACGCAAGCGUUAUCCGGAAUGAUUGGGCGUAAAGCGUCUGUAGGUGGCUUUUCAAGUCCGCCGUCAAAUCCCAGGGCUCAACCCUGGACAGGCGGUGGAAACUACCAAGCUGGAGUACGGUAGGGGCAGAGGGAAUUUCCAGUGGAGCGGUGAAAUGCGUUGAGAUCGAAAAGAACACCAACAGCGAAAGCACUCUGCUGGGACGACACUGACACUAAGAGACGAAAGCUAGGGGAGCAAAUGGGAUUAGAUACCCCUGUAGUCCCUGUCUCUUAUAC
rnacentral:rRNA from 1 species